UACGGGGGGGGCAAGCGUUGUUCGGAAUUACUGGGCGUAAAGGGCUCGUAGGCGGCCAACUAAGUCAGACGUGAAAUCCCUCGGCUUAACCGGGGAACUGCGUCUGAUACUGGUUGGCUUGAGUGUGGGAGAGGGAUGCGGAAUUCCAGGUGUAGCGGUGAAAUGCGUAGAUAUCUGGAGGAACACCGGUGGCGAAGGCGGGUCUCUGGGCCGAUAUUGACGCUGAGGAGCGAAAGCGUGGGGAGCGAACAGG
rnacentral:rRNA from 1 species